AAAUUGAAGAGUUUGAUCAUGGCUCAGAUUGAACGCUGGCGGCAGGCCUAACACAUGCAAGUCGAACGGUAGCACAGAGAGCUUGCUCUCGGGUGACGAGUGGCGGACGGGUGAGUAAUGUCUGGGAAACUGCCCGAUGGAGGGGGAUAACUACUGGAAACGGUAGCUAAUACCGCAUAACGUCGCAAGACCAAAGUGGGGGACCUUCGGGCCUCACACCAUCGGAUGUGCCCAGAUGGGAUUAGCUAGUAGGUGGGGUAACGGCUCACCUAGGCGACGAUCCCUAGCUGGUCUGAGAGGAUGACCAGCCACACUGGAACUGAGACACGGUCCAGACUCCUACGGGAGGCAGCAGUGGGGAAUAUUGCACAAUGGGCGCAAGCCUGAUGCAGCCAUGCCGCGUGUAUGAAGAAGGCCUUCGGGUUGUAAAGUACUUUCAGCGAGGAGGAAGGCGUUGUGGUUAAUAACCACAGCGAUUGACGUUACUCGCAGAAGAAGCACCGGCUAACUCCGUGCCAGCAGCCGCGGUAAUACGGAGGGUGCAAGCGUUAAUCGGAAUUACUGGGCGUAAAGCGCACGCAGGCGGUUUGUUAAGUCAGAUGUGAAAUCCCCGGGCUCAACCUGGGAACUGCAUUUGAAACUGGCAAGCUUGAGUCUCGUAGAGGGGGGUAGAAUUCCAGGUGUAGCGGUGAAAUGCGUAGAGAUCUGGAGGAAUACCGGUGGCGAAGGCGGCCCCCUGGACAAAGACUGACGCUCAGGUGCGAAAGCGUGGGGAGCAAACAGGAUUAGAUACCCUGGUAGUCCACGCCGUAAACGAUGUCUACUUGGAGGUUGUGCCCUUGAGGCGUGGCUUCCGGAGCUAACGCGUUAAGUAGACCGCCUGGGGAGUACGGCCGCAAGGUUAAAACUCAAAUGAAUUGACGGGGGCCCGCACAAGCGGUGGAGCAUGUGGUUUAAUUCGAUGCAACGCGAAGAACCUUACCUGGUCUUGACAUCCACGGAAGUUUUCAGAGAUGAGAAUGUGCCUUCGGGAACCGUGAGACAGGUGCUGCA
rnacentral:rRNA from 1 species